rnacentral:rRNA from 1 species
GAUGAACGCUGGCGGCGUGCCUAACACAUGCAAGUCGAACGGAGAUUACGGACGGAAGUUUUCGGAUGGAAGACUGUAAUUCUUAGUGGCGGACGGGUGAGUAACGCGUGGGCAACCUGCCCUAUACAGGGGGAUAGCAGCUGGAAACGGCUGGUAAGACCGCAUAAGUCGGUUAAAUCGCAUGAUUUGAUCGGGAAAUGAGCAAUCAGGUAUAGGAUGGGCCCGCGUCCGAUUAGCCAGUUGGCAGGGUAAAAGCCUACCAAAGCGACGAUCGGUAGCCGGACUGAGAGGUCGGACGGCCACAUUGGGACUGAGACACGGCCCAAACUCCUACGGGAGGCAGCAGUGGGGAAUAUUGCACAAUGGAGGAAACUCUGAUGCAGCGACGCCGCGUGAGUGAAGAAGUAUUUCGGUAUGUAAAGCUCUAUCAGCAGGGAAGAUGAUGACGGUACCUGACUAAGAAGCCCCGGCUAACUACGUG